rnacentral:lncRNA from 1 species
GUUCAGUUACAUUGACAAGGCUUUCUUGACAUCUGGGCCAGACUCCAAACGAGCAGUUCUUUGUACUUGCACCUAAUUUCUUUUGAGCUCUGAUCUUUUAACUUGUAGUACUUUCCCCCAAAUACUUCUCCUUGGUAAACAUAUGGGUUUUAGCGUGUCAGUGACUAUAAUGUAAAAAUACAAAGCAGGCAGUAAGUGGCUGCCAGACUCAGGGGAGGUUCUGAGAAUGCCAUUUCCUAUAUCAGUAGCAUCCACAAUUAGAGGACACAAGUGAUCCUUCCUAGCAGAGGGGGAGCUGCAGUGGCAACCGCUGCAGCAAGUGCUUAGAGACAAGACAUUAAGGCAGUCACAACAUCAGAAAUCAGACAUGAUUCUUGAUUCAUUAAUUUUUAAACAUUUUUAAAUUGAGAGCCCAUAGCUCUCAAUUAAUUUACACACAAGAACUUGAGAAAUAAAAUUGUCAUUAUCCACAGAUGACAUAUUUGUCUACAUAGAAGACAGUAUCCAUAGAAAAAUUGUGAAAGUUAGUAAAAAAUAUUUGGCAUGGUUGUUGCAUACAGAAUUACAUUUUUGUGCAUUAGCAACAGAAACUGGAAUUAAAACUAGAGGAAAAGAAAUGCUUGGAGCAACUACUAGAAGUCACAAGCUUAUCAAUUUUGGUGACCCCCCAAAUUCACCCACACAGUAAGAAAAAGAUAUGGAUAAUUUUGAAAAUGAAUACUCAUCAUAAAGGUCCUCUUGCCAGAUUGAUCUGUAGAUAUAAUACAAUUUUAGUUCAAGUUACAUUCUUUUUCCUUGGAAGCUGCGAAGUGGGUUCUGAAGUGUAUAGCGAAGCACAGAGGGUUUUCAAGAGUCAAAACCAGGAACUAGAUCACAUGAAAGGAUGCUGUUUUCUCUACUGAAUGUCAAGGUCUGUGGCAGAACACUUAGUUCAGACUUUUCUAGGAGAUUGAUUGACUUGUAGAAAAUCAUCAUAUGGAGGAAAACUGGUCUUUUAAUAAAGCUAGCAUGGAAGAUCAGUGAGGGAAAGAAAAACCGGAGGGUGGUGGUGGCGGUGGUAUGGAAUAAUUAGUAAUCAUCUACUUCAGGAAGGGUAAGAAUGAACUCUCUCAUAGUAGGUCCCUCCCUAUCUCCAGGCUCACUAGCUCCAGGUUUAAGCUACUGUAUAUGGAAGGUACUUUCAAAAGUUGAAAUAAUUGUUUCAUGUUAGGUAUUCUAGAGAUCUAGUAAUCUAGAGAUCAUUUAAAUAUACAGAAGUCAUAUGCAGGUUUCUGUGCACAUAGGACACAAUCUCAUGUAGCUGACAUCAGGAACUGCAGAUUUUCAUAUCAGGACCUGGGGCUUUAGAACUAAUGCUGCACGGAUUCCAAGGCAUAACUGCAUAUAAUUAUCAAUUCAAGACGAACUAAACACCUAAAUGUGAAACUUAAAAUAUCUUCAUAAUUUUGAGGUAGAGAAAGAUUUCUCACAGUAGAAAUGGCGGAUUGUUUAUUUCAUCUGAUGUUAAUUAACACAAGCUCACUUACCUGAUAAUUUGGGUGAAGCUCUGUCUUAAACAUGGAUUGCAAGAGUGUGUUAUGCUGACAUACAUGAUGGUAGACAUACAUGAUGGUAGCUUCCCUGCUCUUCGUGACUAUGUGUGAUGUGAAUUCAUGGGAAGCUGAAGGGAGAGGAAUGUUGUAACAAUUGUCUUCUGUAUUGAGAAUGUAAUUCCAGAGAUUCAUAGACAAGUUGAAGUAAAUAAGUUAACUAUAAUCUAUAAUCUAUGUCAGUAUAUUCCAGAAAGUAUAAAUGUAUUGAGGAAAUGUGAAGUAUUUAGUACAUAUUCUGUCAUCACUGGAGCUGUAGGCACGCUCUUUGGGGGCUUACUGGGUUCUAUUAUCUACCACCCUUCCAACCCUUAUUCCAUCCCAGUCCCUCCCAACCCCUACACUAGGUAGGAGAGAAAGAUGGCUAGAGGGGAUGGGGGCAUUGACCUCUUUAGAUUACUUUCUGCUGAUUGAGAGGACUGAGUUCCUUGAAGCAAGUCCAGUCUCCAUCUUCAGGACAUUUCCAACCAGCAAUUCAGCAGAACAGCAAUCCCACAGUAGUGAGUGCAGCAGCUAAGACAGGCCCCCUGGGGCUCCCGCAUUUAUACCCUCUCAGGCGUCCUCAGAAUUCCAAACAUAAACCAUCAGCAGGUGGCAGAAAUCAUGCCCUUCCUAGAGUAGGAGACCAUCGUAGUGACCGUGGACAAUCUGAAGUAGCCCCAUAUCUCACACCUUGGAUUUAAAAAACCCAGCAUAUUCAUAUAAUAUAACUGGGUUUUUUAAGAAACCAAAAUUCCCACUACACUGGAGCUAUCAGAGAAAGAGCAAGAACUUUGUCCAGAAUUCGGUAGGUUUAUAGAAGGGUCUAGGGACAGCAGGGAGCCUGUGUUCUCUCUUGUCUUAAAGGUAGAUGUUUGAGAAGAAAGGAGAGAGCAGCAGGAGAGAGCUUCAAGCAGUCUAGGCAUGGGGCGUCCUCUGAGCAGCUGAACACCCCAUAGAGUACUAAGAAACAGCCUGCCAUAGCAACUCAGUGGGGUGGUCCUGCGAGCAGUGUGGAGGUUGGGCGAGGGUUCCACUGUGCUGGAAUGUAGGCUGAAUAUUGCUGGUCAGUAAAGUGCAGUGUCUGCCCUGGGAAGCCAGUGCACACUGGGCACCUGGAACAGACUGGCAGCUUAGAUGGCAGGGGCUGAAGCAGUGACCUCAAUCUCAGCAGUGCACUCAGGUUACAGGACAUUCAUCUUCUGCAAAAUUACAGUUCCGGUCCUCCUCUCAAAGAAGGGCGCCAGCUUGACAGAUGGGACUAGUCAUGAGGGACUAGUCAAGAGAUUUUAAGACUUCAUCUAAGAACAACAAGCUGGCAGGCCAUGGAGUCACUUUGAGUAUGGUAGGAAGAAACAGAAGGCAGGUUGGGCUGCUUAUUGAUAGGAAUUUCUGUAGGAAAACUGUGACCUCAUACCAUGUAGAGCUCCUCCAUUCCUAGCCUAGGCUGGAAAGAGGUCGUGAAGAAGCUGAUCUUUGGAAGCAGGGCUGAACCCAGGAACACACAGGCCUACCCAUGCUCCUGAGACGCCCUCUUGUAGUCUGGAGGUGCUUUAGAUAGAUAGAUAGAUAGAUAGAUAGAUAGAUAGAUAGAUAGAUAGAUAGAUAGUUGGUUAGUUAGUUAGUUAGUUGGCUUGUUAGUUACUUAGUACAACCACAGGGUCUGUCCCAGCUUGGGCACUGUGUAAGGAAGCUGUGGUGAAGAUGAACUUUCAUGUAAAUCUAAGGCUUAUCCUAGCCUGCUGGACAGACAGAUGCUCACUGUGGGUGAAGGAACAGUUUUCUAGGACAUCCCUAAUCUGCAGCCCUGCGAGAAUGAACUACACCACAUCAGUUAUGACAUCACGGGCUACGAUAGAUGCCUGCAGCUUAGUGCUAGACAACGUGUGUGUCAGGUGGGUACUGUUAACCUUCAACCCCAUCAGAGGCUGGAGGAUCUCUGUGAGUUGGAAGCCUGAGUGGUCUACAUAGCGAGUUCCAGGACUUGGGGGUGGGGAGGCUCUGUCUCAAAACCAAAAGCAUAAAUAAAUAAACC